GCUAUACAUGCAAGUCGAGCGGACAGAUGGGAGCUUGCUCCCUGAUGUUAGCGGCGGACGGGUGAGUAACACGUGGGUAACCUGCCUGUAAGACUGGGAUAACUCCGGGAAACCGGGGCUAAUACCGGAUGCUUGUUUGAACCGCAUGGUUCAAACAUAAAAGGUGGCUUCGGCUACCACUUACAGAUGGACCCGCGGCGCAUUAGCUAGUUGGUGAGGUAACGGCUCACCAAGGCAACGAUGCGUAGCCGACCUGAGAGGGUGAUCGGCCACACUGGGACUGAGACACGGCCCAGACUCCUACGGGAGGCAGCAGUAGGGAAUCUUCCGCAAUGGACGAAAGUCUGACGGAGCAACGCCGCGUGAGUGAUGAAGGUUUUCGGAUCGUAAAGCUCUGUUGUUAGGGAAGAACAAGUACCGUUCGAAUAGGGCGGCACCUUGACGGUACCUAACCAGAAAGCCACGGCUAACUACGUGCCAGCAGCCGCGGUAAUACGUAGGUGGCAAGCGUUGUCCGGAAUUAUUGGGCGUAAAGGGCUCGCAGGCGGUUCCUUAAGUCUGAUGUGAAAGCCCCCGGCUCAACCGGGGAGGGUCAUUGGAAACUGGGGAACUUGAGUGCAGAAGAGGAGAGUGGAAUUCCACGUGUAGCGGUGAAAUGCGUAGAGAUGUGGAGGAACACCAGUGGCGAAGGCGACUCUCUGGUCUGUAACUGACGCUGAGGAGCGAAAGCGUGGGGAGCGAACAGGAUUAGAUACCCUGGUAGUCCACGCCGUAAACGAUGAGUGCUAAGUGUUAGGGGGUUUCCGCCCCUUAGUGCUGCAGCUAACGCAUUAAGCACUCCGCCUGGGGAGUACGGUCGCAAGACUGA
rnacentral:rRNA from 1 species